rnacentral:rRNA from 1 species
UACGGAGGGUGCGAGCGUUAAUCGGAAUUACUGGGCGUAAAGCGCACGCAGGCGGCUUGGUAAGUCUGGUGUGAAAUCCCCGGGCUCAACCUGGGAACUGCAUUCGAAACUGCCUUGCUAGAGUAUGGGAGAGGGAAGUGGAAUUUCCGGUGUAGCGGUGAAAUGCGUAGAUAUCGGAAGGAACAUCAGGGGCGAAGGCGACGUCCUGGACCAAUACUGACGCUCAGGUGCGAAAGCGUGGGGAGCAAACAGG